rnacentral:lncRNA from 1 species
CUUGCUGUUAUUUCAAGCGGAGUAUAAGAUUUACCUCCCUUGACUCUCCUUCAAUGACCUCACCGAGUUGCUGACCUCAUUCCUACAGACCAACUAAAACUGUCCGCAUCCAACCAUUCAACUGUUGGUAAGCUCAUUACAGACUUUGCUUACAUCUUCUUGCAUCUCUUUACCCCCUCCUCUUGCUCACACUCCAAACUCUUUACCACUACAACCAUCGCCACCGUCGCCACCACCUUCCUUACCAUCAUUGUUGUCGUAAUUGUUUUUGUUAUGAUUAUUAACAUCAUCAUCAUCCAGUUUCACCUCAAUCCCAACGGAUCGAUCUUUCGAUUUUGCUACCACCACCACCACCACCACCACCACCACCGUCGCCGCCGUCGCCGCUGCGGCCAUCACCAUCACCACCACCGCCGCUGACACCACCACCGCUGACACCCCACCCCACCACUGUUACUAUCAUGGUAGCCACCACUGUAUCUACGAUCAUCACCACCACCACCUCCAAAUCUACCACUACAACUACCACCUUCGCCACCAUCACCACCACUAUGCUGGUACCUCUAUCACCAUAUUCAAUGAAAGUCAGCACUCACUAAUAAUCAUCCCAUUAUUUUCAUUGAAGAAAUUGUUGCUUCGAAAUCGAUUUUCUAUUCAUUCUUAAUAUUAAUCCAUUAAUCCGUUAAUCUGUUCUAUCCAGUAUUUUUUAAUUAUUUGAAUUGUUGCUAUAAAGAAGGAAUUUUAAAACAAAGAAGCACAUCUUCAUCGCUAGAAUUUAGAUUAAAAUGAUGAAGGGCUCAAUGUGGAACUUUAGAAGUGUCUUCUAUAUCAUUAUUGUUCCAUUUGCUAACAUUUGUGAAAAGCGUGUUAGCUGGUUACUUUCUUAACCCGAAAAACCUGCCGAAUGGUGUGUGUGUGUGUGUGUGUGUGUGUGUUUGUGUGUGUGUGAUAUGAGUGAUGUCUUCACAGCCUGGAGGUUUAGACGCAUUCAUAUAUCUUUUUGUUGAUCAGGUAUUUAGUAGCUAUCUCUUAUUCUUGGACAGUAAAGGCAUAAGCUUCUUAUGCCUUUACUGGGAUGGUGGUGGUGGUAGCAAAAUCGAAAGGUGAGACAUGUACUUAACACAGGUCCAAAAGCUACUAUUCCUCUCAGUGUUGUUGGGAUUCUCUAGCUUGUGGAAUAUGUAUUCACGCAUAACUUUCUGCUCGUAUGAUGAGUAUUUCUCUUCCAGGUUUCUGUUAAAUAAGUCAGCUCAACUACCCUUGGUUUGCAUGGAACAGUUGUACACUCAGCGUAUCUAUUCAGGAGUUCUUCACCGAAUUAUUUGUUAUGUUGUGUGAUGUACCCAUUUCUCCUUUAACUGUUCAGUAUGAUGCGGUUCUCAAAAACCGUCUGGACCGAUCUUAAUGCUUCUCCCUCUAGAUCAGUGAUUUUCCAAAGUGAGGCAUACGCCCCACCGGUGGGGCUCAGGAAAAUUAUAGUGGUAUGUUGUGCUGCUGUUUGUUGCCAGGCACAAGAUUCUCAUUAAAGGGAUUUCCUUUUUUUCUUCUUAGUCAGUAACGUGCAUUUUUGUUCUUAGUGCUUAAUAAAAAGAGUUACCCGUAGAUUUUUUGUAUUAAAUAAUUGUUAUAGAAUAUUAAAAAAUAAAGUCGUUUUUUUUUUCAACCACUGGUUGGGCAUACAUUUUUGUGGAAAGUUAUAGAGGGGCCUGGUGGGAAUAUGUUGAGAAAGACUGAUCUAGACCCUGUCAGUUUCACUGUCGAUGAUGAAGUUAUUAGUUACUUCCUAGUCCUGAUGUCCAAGCUGCAGAUUUCUUCAAGUGCCCAGUCUAGUACUCCAAAUAUUGGUGCUAGCACUGUCACUUCAAAAGCAUAGUGGGAUAUAGUUUUAUUGACAGCAGACAACUCUGACUUCCAUACCUUCCAAAUUCUGCUGAAGUACUCUUUUAUCACUCUAGCUUUACUCGCAGCAUCACCUUAGCUUUGCUCACAGGACUGCAAUAUUAUCCUUGAUUCCAAAGUAUUUGUAACAUCCAUCACUUGUAAUACGCGAAAUAGACAAACCAUUGAUGUCCAUAUUUUCUGUCUGGUCGCUGGUCGCCAAUCUUUUCUCAUUUCACUAUCAAAUAUGAACUCUUGUCCUGACCAAACUUCAUUCCUAUGAUGCAUGAAAAUGUUAUGACCAGUUCUGUCUCAUGGUGUCAUAAAUAUUACUUGAAGACAGUGUUAGGUCAAAAACAAAAAAUGGUGUGGAUGACAUUAGUCUUCCUUUCAUCGGUAAUUUCAAUCAUGUAGGCUUUGUAUAUCCUUGACAAGGCUGAUAAGGGGCUAACUGCUAGAACAAAAAGCAUUAAGAUAAGCUGUUACUCUGAAAUAUUCCUUCUGGUAGUCUAAUUCUGUUAGUGAUUGUGGGAGCGUCAGUUCUUAUUAAUAGCUCUGUGUACAAUGUUGCUGUCAGCCUGUACCAAAGAACUUUUCGAAUGUUAAUACUUAUAGUAUUGACUUCAGAAGAAUUAUUCGACGUAGCUCCAGACACCUUUCAUUCCUCCUCGUUGCUUCCUUCUCACUACAUUGUGUGUUUCGCAGUGAUCCUGGAGGGAUGCAUCCAAAUAAACUUUAUAUAAUUUAUACAUCAAAUUCAAAUAUGGGAUGGGCUAAUAGUUUUUGGCCACAUGCGUCUCGCGGUUUUUAGCUGCUAGUAUUGUACGCACAACUGCAAACCAGUCUGAAACAUCGAUCUCAGCAUGUAUGUAUGUAUGUAUGUAUGUAUGUAUGUAUGUAUGUAUGUAUGUAUGUAUGUAUGUAUGUAUGUAUGUAUGCAUUAUGUAUGCAUGUAUGUAUGUAUGUAUGUAUGUAUGUAUGCAUUAUGUAUGUAUGUAUGUAUGCAUUAUGUAUGUAUGUAUGUAUGUAUGUAUGUAUGUAUGUAUGUAUGUAUGUAUGUGUGUAUGUAUGUGUGUAUGUGUCUGUCUGUCUGUCUGUAUGUAUGUAUGUGUGUGUAUAUGUGUGUAUGUAUGUAUGUAUGUAUGUGUGUAUGUAUGUAUGAAGUAUGUAUGUAUGUGGAUGUGUAUGUGUGUGUAUGUAUGUAUGUUUUAUGUAUGUAUAUAUUAUGUAUGCAUGUAUUUGUGUAUAUGUGUAUGUAUGCAUGUAUGUAUGUAUGUAUGCGUGUGUGUGUGUAUGUGUGUAUGUAUGCAUACUCCUGGGUAUGACUUCAAACUGCAUCCAAUAGUGAGGCCCUGGUAUGAGAGUUCCAAGGUUUUGAGGCGUGUAGAACUACCUCUUAGCCACAAUUGUUCCUAGAUCUACCCCGACCCAGAGUAAUAGCACCUUUUAGUGUCCCAGUUAUGGGUUAAUUAGCAUGUGAACCACUGGAUGAGAAGAUCACCUACAUCCCAUUCUAACAUCCUUCUCGUAUAAAAUAUCUGAACUAUAGUCAGUUUCUAGUCGUCUCAACCGCUGUUGUGCCACUGGUUUAUAUAGCUGAUUGCUCUGAAACGUGGGUUCAGUGCUAUGCGACGUUUUAUCUACUCAAAACAAAUUCCCGCACAGGAACUUCUUGGACUCCCGGAAUGUUUGCAUGGACUUACUGAUUUUAGGAAGUGGUCUUACUCGGUCAGGAGUUGACUUCCACCAUGUAUGUAUGUAUGUAUGUAUGUAUGUAUGUAUGUAUGUAUGUAUGUAUGUAUGUAUGUCUGUCUGUAUGUAUGUAUGUCUGUCUGUCUGUCUGUAUGUAUGUCUGUCUGUCUGUCUGUAUGUGUGUAUGUAUGUAUGUAUGUAUGUAUGUGUAUGCGUGCGUGUGUAUGUAUACAUGUUUAUAUGCAUGUUUGAAUGUAUGUAAUGUGUGUAUGUGUAGGCAGUCCCCUGCUUUCUAACUGGAUGCGUUCUUGAAAAUGGGCAGGUAAGUUGAAUUUCCGAAUCUUAAAUUAUUGAAGUAUUCAUUGAUUGGGGAGGGAGGGGAGGGGCUUUUUCCACAUGAAUUACUCAGAAUCUCUGGGGGAAUGAUGACAUCCCGAAGAUAAGGAGAAAUAAGGAACAUAAGGAACAUUAUGUUCCUUACAUAAGGAACUUGAUUUCCUUACAAAGUCAUUUUAUAAUUUCCAAUGAUAAAAUAAAUUCAUGACAAAUGUGGAGAAAUAAAAAACAAUAAAUGAAUAUUGAAUUUUGGCACAAGACCAGCAAUUUCGGGGGAAACGGGAUUACAUCAACCCCAGUGUUCAACGAUCCCGAAAAGGAUGAAAGGCAAAGUCGAUCUCGGCAGAAUUUGACCUCAGAAACGGACGAAAUGCCGCUAAGCACUUUAGCUGGCGUGCUAACGGUUCUUCCGGUUCGUUGCCCUAAUUUUAUCAAAUGAAUAUUGAUAUGGCUAUACAUUUGUGCAUUAUAGAUUAAUUAUAUAUUUUUGUUCAAAACUUAUCAAGUGUUUGCCGAAUAAAUUAAUCCCUCGACUAUCGCGGGCGUUACAUUCCAAAAUCCCCGCGAUUUUGUGUAUAUUUUAUUAUUAUUUUAUUAUUAGUAUUUUAUUAUAUAUUUUAUCAUUAUUAUUUUUAUAAUUUGUAUAUAUUUAUUUUAUUAUAAAUGCAAAACAACACCACGGAGGAAUCGAUGUAGGCUUAAAUAAUAAUACGCGAUAGGUGAACCGCGAUAUAGCGAGGGAUUACUGUGUCACACUUCUCUCGAUAAAGGCAUUCAAGCAUAUUAUUGACGAUCAGAGUUUUCCUUUUAUGCAUAAUGAUGUCUAUAUCGUUGUCACUUAUGUUGUUAUAAAUAUUAGCGAAUCGUAGGGCACAGAUGAUCAGAGAUUAUUUCGUAUGGUUGUUACUUUCUUCAACUUGCUAUUAAUAUUGGUUUCCAAAUUUGGUACAAGGCCAGUAAUCUCGAGGAAGGGUUAAGUCGAUUACAUCAAUCCCAGUGCUCAACUGGUACUUAUUUUAUCGACCCAAAAGGAUAAAAGGCAAAGUCGACCUAGGUGGAAUUUGAGCUCAGAACGUAAAGAUGGACGAAAUGCCGCUAUGCGUAUGGCUCAGCAUGCUAACGAUUCUUUUCUAUUAUAGGCACAAGGCUUGAAAUUUAGUGGGAGAGGGAUAGCCGAUGACCCCGAAAGGAUGAAAGGCAAAGUCGACCUCGGCGGAAUUUGAACUCAGAACGCAGCGACGGGCGAACUACCGCUAUGCAUUUUGCCCAGCUAACGAUUCUGCUAGCUCGCCGCCUUACUUGCUAUUAAUAUUCGUAGGAUUUUGUUUACACAUUAAUAAUCCGAUCUUGGCUUUAGCGGCAAUAAUUAAUCUGCAUUUAGGAUGGAGGCAAAAUUCACCUUAUGAUCAUUGAUUGUGAUGUACUCAUCGCGUUUAGCUAAAUAUUCUAAUCCAUUGUCUAAUUUAAGUUAAUGACCGAUAUAUAUAUAUAUAUAUAUAUAUAUAUAUAUAUAUAUAUAUAUAUAUAUAUAUAUAUAUAUAUAUAUAUUUGCUUCACUAUUUCAAUCCCGGUAUGCAAUAGCGGAAACUCUGAACAUCAUUGAAAAUUAUAAAUCUCUGAAUGAAACAUUAUUAUUUUAUUAUCUGAUAAUUACACGGUACUCCUGGAUAUGAAACUUCGAGUUACGAUAUACAACCACUGAAGACUUUAUAAUUAAGAAAUAUAUGCAUACAUACAUACAUACAUACAUACAUACAUACAUACAUACAUACAUAUAUAUAUAUAUAUAUAUAUAUAUAUAUAUAUAUAUAUAUAUAUAUAUAUAUGUAUGUAUGUAUGUAUGUAUGUAUGUAUAUAUUAAUGAUAAGUAACGGGGACGUAAACAAACCAAAACCGGUUGGAAAGCGAUGGUGGGGGAUAAAUACAUACACAGAGACUCAUGCAGAUGGAUCUAUCUAUUUAUAAUACAUACAUACAUACAUACAUACAUACAUACAUACAUACAUACAUACAUAUAUAUAUAUAUAUAUAUAUAUAUAUACACUGAGCGAGAGAGAGAGAGAGAGAGAGAUGCACAAUGGCCCAGUGGUUAGAGCAGCGGACUCGCAGUUGGGGGAUCGCGAUUUCGAUUCACAGACCUGGCGUUGUGAGUGUUCAUUGAGCGAAAACACCUAAAGCUCCACGACGCUCCGGUGGGGGAGGAGAAUCCUGCUCUACACUUUCACCAAAACUUUCUCUCACGCUUAUUCUCCCCGAAAACUACGCUAAGGGUACACGUAUCUGCGGAGUACUCAGCCACUUGCACGUUAAGUUCACGAGCAAGCUGUUCCGUUGAUCGGAUCAACUAGAACCCUCGACCCCGUAACCGACGGAGUGCCACGAUAUAUAUAGGAAAAUAGAAAAUGGAGACGAACGCUCAAGGUGUUAUUAAAUCAUCUAUAUCUUCAUAUCUCCUACACAUGUUUCGAUAGAAGCAUCCAAACUACGUUUGAAAUGAUGAAAAUAACGGUCAGCUAUGCAUCAAUCUCUUCAGGGAGAAUAACAGUACUCAUCAAAUAGACAUUUUAACAGAUAUAUGAAACCCCAGACAUAUCUUAGAUGCAUACAUCAAAACAUGUGUAGGAGAUAUGGAGAUAUAAAUGAUUUAAUAACAUCUUGCUUGUUUCCGGAUUCAAAUCCCACACAAGUGUGUCCAUUGUUUCCUAGGACACUUAAGCAACAUUUAGCUCCCUUUGAAUUAUUCCCUCGGAUCGGUUGUUGCUAUAUUAUCUUUUAAACAGUUUUAAUUUAGCUUUAAGCGUAGCAAAGUUUUAAAAUAAUAGUUAAUUACAAGUACACUUUUAUUAGUACCUUUUUUUAUAAAUUUAUUGCUUUUAAUAGUUAGUGGUAAGUUUACCUUAUAGCUUAUAAGGGUAAUAUAUAUUAAGAGUAUGUGGUGUUUUUAUUAUUAACUUUUGAAUUAUGAAAUAAUGUAUUUCACUCAUAAUUAUUAUAUUAUUCAUUAAAUUCAAUGGUGUUUUUGUUUUGAAGAGAAUUGAAAUAAAGCUUUCACUUUCUGUUAUUAUAGUAAUAACUACGGAAGACUGGUGUGAUUAUUAUUUGUAUGCACUUAAAGAUUGGUCGCUAUUUAGUAUAUAAUUUAGUUAUUGUAGGUUUACAAUUAAUACCGAUACAGAUGUACAUAGAUUUAUGUGUUUCUUGUUGUAGUUUAAUCUUAAAGUUAGUGUUUAAUCCUGCCUAUAUUUGAUUGAAUACUGUUGUUCAUAGGGUAAAUGUGUUUGAAAGUCGUGUGUUUUGCUCUUUUGGUAUGUUUGUUUCCAAACAGCACCUCUUUAAGUGCUGUUGACACCGCCGGAUAGAAUAAUGGUACUACCCAGGUGUCGAAACCAUAAUGAUAUCCGUGAGGUAGCUGAUGAUGGAGGUAUGGUGGAUUGUUGGUAGGGCUGUUUGUGUGUAUGUGGAAUAGUGUUAUAACACAUCUUUUGAUAUAUAUAUAUAUAUAUAUAUAUAUAUGUAUAUAUAUAUAUAUAUAUAUAUAUAUAUGCAUAUGCAUAUAUGGGUACAGGAGGUCACAAACUGUGUAAACAACAUGGA